UGGCCCUGCAGCUCUGUUGCUUUGAAAGUCACAGCUCUGGUUGCAGUUUGAACUGGAAGAGGCUGACCACAGAAGUCAUCCUCUCUCACCAAAGGAGGACACAGACCAAAGGACAAGGCAGGAUAGGAGACAUGGACCUCUACAUAAGCAUGUACAUGUGAAGACACAUACACAUACACUUUGACCUCAUCCCCGGACACCCACCAUGGAAGAAACUAGGUCUUUACUCCAGAUUGGGAAGAGCACAUAAAGGAGAAUUCUCUCCCGACCUUUCAUCCUCUGUGUCUCCCUCCUCAUAUUCACAGAGACAUAUACAGUCAUACACAAAUGCACACACAAUGUGCAUACUCUCACAAUUGGCAGAGCAAAGAGAAAGGGAAAAGAAGACUAAAAGAAGAAGCCAGCAACCAAAGGUCAGCUGGGGUGGCUCAGCCACGUGCAGUACACCCACAACCCUGGUCAGGUCAUGUGAGACCAGGACCAAAGCCUCGUCAACACUCCAUUGUCUUCCAGAGCCCAGCCUGUGCUGUACCCUCCAGGCCAGGGCUACUUUGUUCACCCCUCCUGAGGGGACCCCCUGGGGCUCCUUCAGUCUUCUCCUGGAGGAAAAACUGAGUGAUGCUCAGGCCCAGGAUCCUCACCUAGGACUCCAGGACAUUCAAACAGCUUUUCUGAUCUCACCUAGUUUGUCAGCCUCAGUCCUAUCAGCCUCUGACUCUUCUUCGUUAAGUCUGAGAGAACAGCCAAGGAGUGCUGAAGGCCAGAAAUGAGGCAGUUCUGCUGGGCCAUUUCCUCAGACCAGGAAGGUUCAUGGUUCCAAAGGCAGCCCCUGGAUCCUAAGCAUGGAGAGAGGCAGGAAAAGCGCACUACUGGGUUCUGGUCCCUCACUCUGCAAACAGCCACAGGCACUGACACGGUGCAGGUCCAGAGGCCCAAAAAUGCGUGGAAAGCACACAUUUCUGCUUCCACCUUGUGCAGAAGAGCGUGUUAGGCAGGUCCGUCUCUGCUCUCUGGGUCUCUGACUCCCUGGCAGGGAGGAAUUGGGCAUUGUUGCCAAAAAUAAACGUUCCCUCUCCCGCUCCCUGGCUCCCGGCUCCCGCUCAUUAGGAUGCGUGGCGUUUGGCUGCGGUCCC
rnacentral:lncRNA from 1 species